AUAUAUGAUCUCUGGUUGUUUUGUGAUCCCAGGAUCUACUGAGAUGUAUAGCAUAAGAAGUUAUACACAUCCUGGAUUUUGUAAGUUUCCCAGCUUCUCCAUUGUUCUUGAGUAUCAUUUUUCAGGGCAAUCAUAAAAAUGGGCAGGGCAUGAAGCAUUGCACUUCUAAAACUUGCAAAUCUGAAACCUGGAUUUCCAAACAUAUCAGAGAAAGAAGAAAAACAGGUCCUCACUGCCCUAUAGGACAAACCAGAACACGACGGCCAGGAUUCAGCUCCUAACCAAUCAAAUAGAGGAUUCAAAAAUACCCAAUCAAGAGGAGGAUUGAAAAACAGACUCUUCUGAAUGGACAAAGGGAGAAUAUGGGAGGGAACAACAUGGGAAUAUAAGUCAGACUAGCAACGGCACCCUCUUCCGGGUCCCCUUCCACCACGUGGAAGCUUUACUUUUGGUUUGCUCAAUAAAC
ensembl:lncRNA novel transcript